CAGCACAGCUACCCCAGCUGAGGGGGUUGGGACUGGGGCAUGAAAACCUCAUGGAUGCAGGAGGUCGUGAAAAAACAUGGAUGAGAGCCCUUGAUGAGAUGUCAGAUUGGUCAGGAAACAGGAGAUGGAGGAGCUGCCUGAGGACAACUCCAAUUUGACCAGCACCUUCCGAAGCCCCUGCUCCCUGUGAGGUCCCGUGUGCUGCAGCCAGCUGCUGCCAGGGAACUGGAAUCCAAGUGGGGAUUUUAUUCCAGAGGAAAUCUGCCGUCAUUGUUUUAUCCCUGUUUUUCAUUUACUCUGUUAGUACCAUCUGCUCUCAUUUUAGUUUUUGUAAAGGCCACCUGUUCUGGUACUAUAUUAAUUUUUUAAAAAUAUAUACAGAUUUCUUUGGCACAGAGCU